ACCCUGUUGAGCUUGACUCUAGUCUGGCUCUGUGAAGAGACAUGAGAGGUGUAGUAUAAGUGGGAGGUCGCUUGCGGCCGUCGGUGAAAUACCACUACUUUCAUCGUGUCUUUACUGACUCGGUGAGGCGGAGAGCGGUCCUUCGCCGGACCACGUUUCUAGCUUUAAGCGGUGCUCCCCCGAGCGGGGAGCGCGCGAUCCGCUCCGAGGACAGUGUCAGGCGGGGAGUUCGACUGGGGCGGUACAUCUGUCAAAAGGUAACGCAGGUGUCCUAAGGCGAGCUCAGCGAGGACAGAAACCUCGCGUAGAGUAAAAGGGCAAAAGCUGGCUUGAUCUUGAUUUUCAGUACGAAUACGGACCGCGAAAGCGGGGCCUAUCGAUCCUUUUGACUUUACGAGUUUUAUGCAAGAGGUGUCAGAAAAGUUACCACAGGGGUAACUGGCUUGUGGCAGCCAAGCGUUCAUAGCGACGUUGCUUUUUGAUCCUUCGAUGUCGGCUCUUA
rnacentral:rRNA from 1 species